UUUUUUUUUCUUUCUAAUUUUUGCACACCACGUGUUUGUUCUUUUUCCUAAACCACAGGUUCAUAUCAAAUAGGAGUAUCUAGCUUUACUUUGAGAGUUUGGAUUUCUAUAAUAUAUUAGUUUGCAUUAGUGAUAUUGCUUAUUUGCAUAAUUGCUUAAUGUAGGUUAAACAAUUUUAUCAAUGGCUUCCAAAUUGCUAUUAAAGAAACAAAGUCAAUCAGUUGAAGCAAGUAUUUUUUAUUAUUGAAACUUACUCUUUGUUAAACUUAAAGAAUUUUUAGCAUAUUCAUGAUCACAUUUGUUCCCUCAGCUGCAUAGAGGUGGAAGAUUACAAGGAAAGGUAAUCCGAGGCUAUGCUCGCUAUGGAGACCAUUAAAGCCGGGAACAAAGGCUAUGGUGCUGAGAUUACCGUGGUUACUUAUUCGGAGCGAAAGAAAGAGACAGACGAGAGAUCAAAGUUCCGCAUACUUCUUAUGAUUCCUUGUCUUCCAGAGUUUUGGGCAGCAUGGAAGGGAGCUUAUUACAACUGAACUUGCUUUAAGGAUUUUGUCUAUUCUAAGUGGAGAACAAUCACUACCUAACAUGGAUCAAGCUUCUUUGAACACUACACUUGACAAGCUUGUGAUAAAGGCAAGUUCAUAUUGUCGCUGUAAUUGUGUUAAUAAUGAAUCUAAUAUGGAACUAGGCUCUGCUAAUCAGGAUUUCAGUGAAGUGUCAUAAUCAGUUUUAUUGAAAUAUAUGUUAUAGAUUGUAUACUAUAUAACAGAU